rnacentral:rRNA from 1 species
UACGGGGGGGGCAAGCGUUGUUCGGAAUUACUGGGCGUAAAGGGCUCGUAGGCGGCCAACUAAGUCAGACGUGAAAUCCCCAGGCUCAACCUGGGAACUGCGUCUGAUACUGGAUGGCUUGAAUCCGGGAGAGGGAUGCAGAAUUCCAGGUGUAGCGGUGAAAUGCGUAGAUAUCUGGAGGAAUACCGGUGGCGAAGGCGGCAUCCUGGACCGGCAUUGACGCUGAGGAGCGAAAGCGUGGGGAGCAAACAGGG